rnacentral:rRNA from 1 species
CUACGGGUCGCUCCAGUGAGGAAUAUUGCACAAUGGGGGGAACCCUGAUGCAGCAACGCCGCGUGGAGGAUGACGCAUUUCGGUGUGUAAACUCCUUUUAUAUGUCAAGAAAAUGACGGUAGCAUAUGAAUAAGCACCGGCUAACUCCGUGCCGGCAGCCGCGGUAAUACGGAGGGUGCAAGCGUUACUCGGAAUCACUGGGCGUAAAGGACGCGUAGGCGGGUUGGAAAGUCAGGUGUGAAAUCCUACAGCUUAACUGUAGAACUGCACUUGAAACUUCUAAUCUAGAGUAUGGGAGGGGGAGAUGGAAUUAGUGGUGUAGGGGUAAAAUCCGUGGAUAUCACUAGGAAUACCUAAAGCGAAGGCGAUCUCCUGGAACAUUACUGACGCUAAGGCGUGAAAGCGUGGGGAGCAAACAGGAUUAGAUACCCCAGUAGUC